GAUAACGAUAUACAACUAUUAUUCAACCAAUCAAAGUACAAUUAUUCAACUAACUAAGCAGGCUAAUAGGAACUGGAACCUCAAAGCAGAAUACAUACACAAUUUGACCUCAAAAAUGAAUCUAUGAUGUUGGAAUUUCGCUUUAUUUCGAUUUAUUCCGUAACUUAAUAUCAUAAUAUCAAAAUCUAUAUCUAUAAAUUCAUAAUAAAAAAACAAUAUCUCAAAUUACUUUGUGGUGCCAUAUCAGAAAAAUAAAAAUUAAUACCUUCAACAAAUCCAAAGUAUUGAAUCACAAUUACUCUCAGAUCCAUACAUCCAGAGAAAUUAAUUACUAUCGCCGUCGUCAGCCGGCGACAACAGGGGUAUUGCUCUCCUGCUUCCCCUGAUUCCGGCCAUCACCUGGGUUCUAUUCAACAUCCCGGAGCCGGCGCUGAACCAGAUCAACCUGAUGCGGGAGACCAAAGGUGUGGUCCGUCGGCCUCGGGUUGAGCGGCGGAAUCGCUCGGCUGCUGGCGUUGACGACUCCUGAGGCGUCGGCGGCCGCCGGGAGCGACAACAGGGGCACGAUGUUGCUGAUUGUGGUUGGUGUAAUAAUUGUUCACCUGAAAGCAUGUGGUAGAGAUUGUUGUUGGGGGUGAGAAGGGGAUGCUGAUUGAGGAGACGACAGUAUGAUAAUGGAAGAGAUGACGGCGAUUGUUAUUUGCUUUAAUAAUAAAUAAUAAUAUUGUUAUGUGAUAAUAAAAUAGACUGUUGUUAUAACAAAGUUUCUGCCUUUCUAACCAGGAAAAAAAUUAUGAUUCCAUUAGCUGCUUACCGUUGCCAUCUCAUAAUCGCAGGUGCUAAUUUAGUAAUCCACAUCGUAGUUACUCGUUAGUUAGCACUUACCAGACUAAUUAAUUUCGUCGUUUGAAUCAGUUUCGUUAAUCCAGCGCAUACAUACGCCACCCUGAAAGCAAAGCAAACCCCCAAUCAACGAAUUCCACCUUAUAUAAAAAAGAGAGAAGACAUCUCUUCCUUCCCAUUCCCAAAUUCUUCUGAUUCAACCUUCCUCGUCACCAUCACCAUCUUCUCCCAUUAACUCCCUCUUCUUCCCAACAACUCUUUUUCUCUUAAUACUCUAUCCAAACCCAAUUCCACUAUCCUCAAAAAUCUCUCCCAUACUUUGAAUCAUCACUGCUGGAGAUAAGAUUUCCCUCCUCCUCUCUCCCCAAUUCGCAUUCUCUCCUUUCC
rnacentral:lncRNA from 1 species